UUAGCGGGAGAGCGGAGCAGCCAAUCAGCUGCAAGCUUACCAACCUGCCUAGGCGCCAGCAAGAUUAACUGUAAUGGUAGAAAAUGUAUGUGAGGAGUUUGGUACGUGUGGUGGGGCGGCAAUGGGCGCCUCAGAGUCCAUGAGUCAGCGAGUAGAGUCAGCGCAUAGACGCCGAACUCAGCAUAAUCGUCAGAUAAUUGGGAACAGUGAUUGAUGUCAUGCCUGGCCCAACUUCCCGGCAGGCCCGGAUUUAGGGGGGGGCACAAGGGGCCAGUGCCCAGGGCCCCGCGCUUUUAGGGGCCCCGCGCUGAAGCGUUUUUUUUUUUUUUUUUUAUUAUUUUUUUUAAGGUUCUAUACCGAGGAGGGGCGCAAUCGAUGGGGUUGUUACCACAACAUGAUAUCCCCCCAAUAUUUCUGUACUUUAAGUUCCCCUUUCUAAUUUUCUAUUGAUUUAAUCUAUAUGUGGUUUCGCCGUCCGUCAUGGACGAGGUAGUUUGCUCGCUAACUAUUCUCCUUGGAGCAGGCAACAUUUCCACGCCAAACAUACGUAGUGGUGCCGCUACUUCGCAGCAAAUUAAUAUACCUGUGUUACGUGUAUCUCGUUGUUGUAUAGGGUUUUUAUUCUUAAGGAAUCUAAUUAAGUGCCGUCAAACCCGUCAUUCGUAACUGUGAAGUUAAUCAAGUAAAAUAAGCAUAUGUAUUAGUAUUAGCGAAGCGUGGAUACAUGAGAGUCUCAUGUAUCCACCUGUAGAAUCAAGAUCAAGAUCAAGCCGUAUGUAAACACAAGCACGCAGCCUGCCGCCCAAGCGAAGCGGAAGCAAGCUUCCUGGUGCUGCUGCUUGGUGUUGUGGUGGUGGCCGACAGCUGACUUAUCACUGGACUGGACCAUCGGUUACUGAAGGAGAAUACUGUCACUCCUAUAAAUGUGAAAGCUGGCAACCACUUCCAAAUGUCAUAACAAUGUCCGGACGAGAGCGAGAUAAGGGAAGGAAGUAUCAGUCAGGCUCAGCAAAGCGAAAAAAAGUUGU